CAAAAAUAUUGUUAUGAGAAUGAGUAAGAUUUGGGAAAUGCUGGCCUAGAGCUUGGAUUCCGGGAUCGAACAGACUUAGAGCCAAGCGUCAGACCCAUCGUGCAUCUACGAGGAAACCGGGGAAAAGUUGCUUCACUUCUGUGGCCUUCAGUUUUCUCACCUGUAAAAAGGGGCCGAGACUGGGACCAACCUCGUAGGAGAUUUCGAGGAAUCCUUGAGAUCGAUAGUGUACGUGAGACACUCAGCGUGGCGUCUGAUGCGAGUGAGCAUUCAUUCCGUUAGCUGCUCAUAACCUGUAUUAUUUUUCACAGGAAAGGAAGCAAAGGCGGUCCAGUAGUGGGCACAGCGAGAGCAAAGGCCCGGAGGGUUGCAAGAUGGCUGCUUCUGCUCCAGACAUCCUAUCCCCGUUUAAGGCAGGAGGAGAACAAUGGAGCCAGCAGACUUUGUCUGGCAUCUCAUUAGUCACAACCAUCCAUGGGAACCCCAGCUGCAACGGAGGCGGAGAAGGGAAGUGUUUUGCUCUUGCAGCUUCAGAAGAGGGGGUAAAUAAAUGAGAAUGGGGUUGGGAAUGGCUGUCCAUGAAGUGUUGGUUUAAUGUCACUUCUUCCUGGAAGCCUCCGCUGGUUCCCUAGCCCAGACCAGAUACUGCCGUUGUACGCCCUCCUAGCACGCUAUCCUCUUCUUCGUGCCCUUGUCACGACUGUAACCUAUUGCUUUACUCGUAUGAUUGAUUGAUGGGCAUCUGGUUCUGUCUCCGGGCUGGGUGUUCAGUGAGUUUCCCGAGUUCCCGCCUGUUUCUCCAGAUCCCGGCACGGUGCCUGGUACACAGGGGACCUCGGCAACUGUUUGUGGAUUGCCUGCUCCCAAAUCCUUCUUCCUAGAGCCCAGAGGCCUGCCUUGUCUGGCUGGGAUCUUUCCUGCCACCCGGGGGAAAAAGAGCCUCCUCUAGUCAUCACUGUCCCAGCAGAGGCCGGCCCAGUUUCGUCAUGGCUUCUACCCAGCUUCAGUUUCUGGAACGGGUCCAUUGGAGUGUCAACCGCACCUCUGUCGGCCACGUGAUGAUGAGGAGAGGAAGCUCAUGUCCAGGGACAGGGAUGAGGACUUGCCCAUCGCUUUGGGGGACACCAUUCAACCCACGACACUGAAUCUGAGGAAUUGAAAGAAGACCUGGAUGGGUGGAGUGUAAGGACCCGGGGUCCUGGUUGUGGGCCGGGCCAGGUCUCACAGACGUGAAGCCAUGAGGAGCGGGCUUCAGGCAGGAAAGUGGCAGAAUCUGACUCAUUCUUUCAAGUGAUCAAAGAUGUGCAGGAGAGGGACACCGUGCAGGUCCCCGAGGUCGUCAGUGAGACACUGCUGUCUGAGUCUGGGGACUGGUGGUCGAGAUGGAGACAGGAGAAGUGGUGCAAAGGGUAUUCUGGUUGGGAUGGGUUUGAUCCGGAGAGUGAGGGGGGCAGGGGGGUCGGGGAUAACGCACACGUUUCUUCCUUUGCUGUGGAAACUGAUAAGGAUGCACAACACUGGGAGAGGGGCGGGGCUCGGGAAGAUCUCCAGCUCAGUUUUGAGCCUGUUGAAUUUGAGGCGCCCGAGGUUGAUUGCUUCCAAAAUGGCCCCAGUUAUUCUCCUCCUGGUGUAGAUGCUCCUUUACCGUGUGACUUUGCAGCAACUUCCAUCAGUGAGUGUCCACUCCGUGAAUGUGGGUGGAAGGUGUGACUUACUUUGGCCAAUAGGACAAUAGCAAACAUGACAGAAACAGACGCUCGAAGGGUGUGUGUGCAUGGUGCUCCAUUCUACGCUCUCAG
ensembl:lncRNA